AGUGAACGCUGGCGGUAGGCCUAACACAUGCAAGUCGAACGGCAGCACAGUAAGAGCUUGCUCUUACGGGUGGCGAGUGGCGGACGGGUGAGGAAUACAUCGGAAUCUACUUUUUCGUGGGGGAUAACGUAGGGAAACUUACGCUAAUACCGCAUACGACCUACGGGUGAAAGCAGGGGAUCUUCGGACCUUGCGCGAUUGAAUGAGCCGAUGUCGGAUUAGCUAGUUGGCGGGUAAAGGCCCACCAAGGCGACGAUCCGUAGCUGGUCUGAGAGGAUGAUCAGCCACACUGGAACUGAGACACGGUCCAGACUCCUACGGGAGGCAGCAGUGGGGAAUAUUGGACAAUGGGCGCAGGCCUGAUCCAGCCAUACCGCGUGGGUGAAGAAGGCCUUCGGGUUGUAAAGCCCUUUUGUUGGGAAAGAAAAGCAGCAGGUUAAUACCCCGCUGUUCUGACGGUACCCAAAGAAUAAGCACCGGCUAACUUCGUG
rnacentral:rRNA from 1 species